AUGAGGAUAACAAGCCUGAGGACUAUGACGAUGCGAUAUGGAUUGAUCUUGCUCGAUGGGAUCGGCACCUUUCGCCAUAGGGGCUGGCGUGCCUCGGCCAAGCUGCAAAAUUAUUUUGGACCUCGUUCCUCCGAUGAGAUCCAGCAACCAGACCGGACUCCAUGGAAGAAAGCAGAAGAGGAGUGAAGAGAGAAUGAGUAAGGAAUGAGAGGUUUUAUGGUGAGAGAGGUUACGUCUACACCAACUGUGAGUUGGGGGGUCUCUGAGUUUGAGUUCUUGAGUCCAGUAGAAGUUAGGCGUUGAUUUCCUUUGGGCAGCUGAAGGCCUGACCGAAUUUUGUAACUUGCUACGGAGAGAAGCAUGUGGCCAGUAAAAGAGAUUUUGAUUCAUUCUAUGAGAUGGGUACGUGCUACCAAAAAUUAGGGGGUGUGUCAUUAGUUGAAUCAAAAGAUAAUG